rnacentral:rRNA from 1 species
GAUGAACGCUAGCUACAGGCUUAACACAUGCAAGUCGAGGGGAAACGAUAUUGGAAGCCUGCUUCCGAUAGGCGUCGACCGGCGCACGGGUGAGUAACGCGUAUCCAACCUGCCCACCACUUGGGGAUAACCUUGCGAAAGUAAGACUAAUACCCAAUGAUAUCUCUAGAAGACAUCUGAAGGAGAUUAAAGAUUUAUCGGUGAUGGAUGGGGAUGCGUCUGAUUAGCUUGGUGGCGGGGUAACGGCCCACCAAGGCGACGAGCAGUAGGGGUUGUGAGAGGAAGGUCCCCCACAUUGGAACGCAGAUACGGGCCAAACGCCUACGGGAGGCAGGAGUGAGGGAUAUUGGUCAAUGGGCGAGAGCCUGAACCAGCCAAGUAGCGUGCAGGAUGACGGCCCUAUGGGUUGUAAACUGCUUUUAUAAGGGAAUAAAGUGAGCCUCGUGAGGCUUUUUGCAUGUACCUUAUGAAUAAGGACCGGCUAAUUCCGUGCCAGCAGCCGCCGUAA